GAUGACUGCUGGCGGCGUGCCUAAUACAUGCAAGUCGAACGAAGAUCUAGCUUGCUAGAUCUUAGUGGCGAACGGGUGAGUAAUACAUAAACAAUCUGCCCAUAUGACUGGGAUAACUAUUGGAAACGAUAGCUAAUACCGGAUAGGUUGAUUGGAGGCAUCUCUGAUUAAUUAAAGUAGGAUUUCUACACAAAUGGAUGACUUUAUGGCGCAUUAGUUAGUUGGUGGGGUAACGGCCUACCAAGACGAUGAUGCGUAGCCGACCUGAGAGGGUGACCGGCCACACUGGGACUGAGACACGGCCCAGACUCCUACGGGAGGCAGCAGUAGGGAAUUUUCGGCAAUGGGCGCAAGCCUGACCGAGCAACGCCGCGUGAGUGAUUAAGGCCUUCGGGUUGUAAAGCUCUGUUGUAAGGGAAGAACAUUCAGGAUAGGAAAUGAUCUUGAACUGACGGUACCUUACCAGAAAGCCACGGCUAACUACGUGCCAGCCGCCGCGGUAA
rnacentral:rRNA from 1 species